CGGGUGCACUGAUCCAGCCGGGCCUUUCCCUCUGUGGAACCCCAUGGCCUUCACUGGCUGUGGUGGGGAAACAGGACUUUUACUUUGAAAAAAUUAGAGUGCUCCAGGCAGGCCUAUGCUCGAAUACAUUAGCAUGGAAUAAUAGAAUAGGACGUGUGGUUCUAUUUUGUUGGUUUCUAGGACCGCCGUAAUGAUUAAUAGGGACAGUCGGGGGCAUCAGUAUUCAAUUGUCAGAGGUGAAAUUCUUGGAUCUAUUGAAGACUAACUACUGCGAAAGCAUUUGCCAAGGAUGUUUUCAUUGAUAAGGAACGAAAGUUAGGGGAUCGAAGACGAUCAGAUACCGUCGUAGUCUUAACUAUAAACUAUGCCGACUAGGGAUCGGACGAUGUUAUUCUUUGACGCGUUCGGCACCUUUCGAGAAAUCAAAGUGCUUGGGCUCCAGGGGGAGUAUGGUCGCAAGGCUGAAACUUAAAGAAAUUGACGGAAGGGCACCACCAGGGGUGGAACCUGCGGCUUAAUUUGACUCAACACGGGGAAACUCACCAGGUCCAGACACAGUGAGGAUUGACAGAUUGAGAGCUCUUUCUUGAUUCUGUGGGUGGUGGUGCAUGGCCGUUCUUAGUUGGUGGAGUGAUUUGUCUGCUUAAUUGCGAUAACGAACGAGACCUUAACCUGCUAAUAGCCCGUACUGCUUUGGCAGUUCGCCGGCUUCUUAGAGGGACUAUCGG
rnacentral:rRNA from 1 species